AACCUUUCAGCAGCGGGAACGGGCUGUGUUUCCGUAUCCCUCCGGAACGCUACCAACAAUCGACAGUACGGUUUUUUUUUAUUGUAAAAAUAAAUAAAAGUAAAGUUGUUAGCAGCACGGCUCGUCUUCUUGUUAAAGAAGCGAAUGAGCUAGACCUCAAAGUCUUUUUAUAUAAAAAUAAAAAAAGAAAGAAAGAAAAGUCUUUUUGUUCGGAUAGAUGGGAGGCUUGUCCUCGCCCCUUUUAGGUUGCGAUUGGUGGCGCCGUGGCUUCCAGAUUUUUGGCUAACGGUUAGCGCGUUAGUUUAGCAUUACAUUAAUUAUCUGAUUAUUAUAGUACGGUACCGAGCACAAUUGCGUAUCUCGAGUUUCACACGUACAGCGGCUUCCUAUGAAAACAAUAGUUUACACUACCGGCUUCGAGGGUUGAAAUAUAUCGGCACAGAGGUUUGCAUUAAUGUUUUAGAGUUUGCCUCUAAAAUUAAUUUAACUGUUUUAUACGAUUCUUACUGAAUUUAACACAGAGUUUUUAGAUUUAGAAUAUAUUUUUUUAAUUGAAUCAAACCGGAAGUUCGUUUUUAAUUUUACUUUCGAAUCUUGGAGCUCGAAUUGGUCAGCAAACUGUUAUACCGCUUAGGUCCGUCAAAUUGUCAAACUCGCCUAGUGGCCCACUGUCAAGCUGUCAAGCUGUCGUGUUGUCAUAAAAAAUGAGGCGUCCUUUUGUGAAGGUUAGUUUUAAUAUAUAUCUUUCGCGAGGUAUUAUUAUAAUUAAAAUUACAUUAUAAGUGUAAUAAUUAUAGAUGAUUAUUAAUUCGUGUUUUAAUGUAUAUUCCAUACAGGUAGCUCGCAACAAACGAUCGACAGCACGGUUCUUGUACGUGGUCGGAUUGCUGGAAUGCGCAUCUUUGACUCUAUUUUGUGUUAGAACAAAGUGUCCAUGUUGGCUAAAGAGGCUGUUCUAUAAACUUAGAACGAUCCAUAGAAGGAAUACACAACUCACCGCCAGAUGAAGACUUUGUCUGAACGACACCGCAACGACAUCGAACGAUAGCGAGCAGCCUAGAAGAGGAAGAGAUUCCACUCGAGCACUAGAUGAGAAUUCUUCCUAACACCACCGCUGCAUCACGUUCGGAGAGCGUUCGGUACGAUCAGGCUUAGCUACGAGAAAGGAGAGCAAGUGUUUAAGAGCGCCUCCAACAUAAAUUGCUCACACCCACGGAACGCCAUAAAGGAUCGACGGCACGACUCGUCGCCGUUUUAGGGUGGAGGAGAGGCUUGUUCACGCGGUUUUCGCUUGCCAUUGGUGGCUGCCGUGGCUGACGAUUUUCCAUAAACAACCCGGUACAUAGAUGGACUAGGGGAAAACUUAUUCAUGAUCGUAAGAAACCAAAAACCAGAGCCGUCCAGUGAACGAACAUUCCAAUUUUUCACACUAUCUGUGAAAGAAGAUAAAUAAUUUAUAAUUGACGAAGAAUUAAAUUCCCACGAUUUUUCCAUUCUGCCUGGUAUCUACAGAGCAGAAAAAUGGACAAGCAACAGUCGCUGUACAGAUGCAACUUUCACCGACCGUGGCAUAAUGUCAGAAGAAGGACCUAGAGCACGUAAAGAUAUGUUAAAACAAUAUUUGGAGAACAAUGAGACAACCCCGCUAACGGAACAAAUUGAAGAAAUGGAAUUCCUACGCGAUCAUUUGGUAGACGACUUAGAAGGGGAUGCAAAGAUUGACACCAUUGGUGGCUAUUUCCGCACGACUUAUCAUAAUGGAAAUACUUAUUAGGGUAGAAUGCCAACUCUACUCAAAAGAGCAUAGUAAUAACGAGUAACUAGGUUAAGUCUGAUACCGAUAGUCGGUAUUCGACCCAUUAACUAUAAGCAAUCGCUUGCUUUCUAACCUAAGAUUUAAAAGGACGAAGAGCACACACUCCGAAACUCAUCGAAGAGAUCCGCAAACAUCAAUGCCUAUACAAUGGAGGGAAUUAUCGAAAGCACUUACGUUGGCGACUAUCUGGACAGCUUCAAGACGGAAGAAGAAGCGGCGUGUCAGAUAUCGCUUGAUGUAAGGGAUAUUUUUAGGAACGGCGGAUUUGAGGGGAGGAACUGGACCUCUCCAAUUCUUAAAGAGUUGAGAAAGCUCCGCUCCAAAUCCGCGGAAAUACUUGACCGAUCCAACACAGUUCAAGCCCGGUUGCAGCUUGCUCAAGAGCACUACGACUGGGCAGGUGAAAACCUGAACAAGUGGCGAAAUGUACUGUGGUUGGAUGAGUCCAAAGUGAAUUUGUUAGGUUCGGAUGGGAAACGCUGGGUGCGUCGUCCAUUGUAUACCGCCUUCCGGCCACAGUACACUGUAAAAACCGUGAAGCACGGCGGAGGCAACAUCAUGGUGUUGGGAUGUUUCUCUUGGUACGGUGUCGGUCCUAUCUUUUGGAUAAAAUAUAUCAUGGACCAACACAGAUACUAAGACAUCAUCCAAACUGUCAUGCUGCCUCAUGCAGAGUGGGAGAUACCACUGAAAUGGCAAUUCAUGCAUGACAAUGAUCCGAAACAUACCACAAAAGCGGUUAAAAAAUGGUUUGUUGAUCACAAAAUUGACGUCAUGAAUUGGCCUGCACAAUCGCCUCGAGGGACGCCGUCGAGCCUAUUGUGAAAGCCGACGGAACAGUAGACGCCGUGAACCCCGUAAAAGAUAAGAAAGCGCGAGGUAGAAUAAUAUUACUGUUAGAACUGCAUAAUUAUUACCAUGUAAAGGAUACACGAGCAGCUCAAGAAGCGUGGAAGAAGCGUUUGAAGAAACGGGCUUAGCGCGAGAUCUGCUUUAUAAGCUAAUAAGAACCGACUCUGAGAGCUGUGGAUCCACUGAACAGUAUGCGAACAAAAUGAUUUCUAUCUGCCGCCAAUUAAACGCGAUCGGUUUCACGAUCGCAGAACGUUUGGU